GACCUGAUGGCACAGUUGGUUAGUGCGUCUGCUCAAAGUUGUUGAGUCUCCGUAUUUCCGCAGAAGGCCCCGGUUCGAUUCCGGGUUAGGUCU